rnacentral:misc_RNA from 3 species
AACGCACAUUGCGCCCCUUGGUAUUCCAUGGGGCAUGCCUGUUCGAGCGUCAUUUGUACUCUCAAGCCUUGCUUGGUGUUGGGUGUUUGUCUUUGCUCUGCCUAGACUCGCCUUAAAUAUAUUGGCAGCCGGUAUUUUGGUUUGAAGCGCAGCACAUUUGCUUUUCAAAUCUUUAUUAUUGGUACCCAUAAGCAUUUUAACACUUUUGACCUCGGAUCAGGUAGGGAUACCCGCUGAACUUAA